GCCGAGAUUAGGGUCGGGUCAAGGCGAGCCCUGGGAACCCAAAUAUGGGAAAAAUAACAGGAAACUCGACGCUCCAGAGGGGAACUUGGACAACAAAACCGGUGCCUUUCAGCACAUGCUGGGCCGGGGAAAGGACAGUCGGACAAUGGAUCUGAUCGAGUGUGUUCCAAUUUGAAAGAAACCCUGAACCACAGCAAUGCCGGGAGAUAUGCCACAGACGCUGCUCAUUGAGAAAGCAGAUUCAAAAUGGAGGACGACUUCAGAUGUGGCUCGGGUCUUCGCUGGCAACACUGAGUUCACCAAUCUGCAAUUACCAUCAAAGGGUCAUCCACAUGGCAAAGAGAAGGAUAGAGAGUUGUUUGUGGGGAAAGAUGUCCCACCACUGCCUUCUUCCUCAUAUGAAUCUUCCAUGCUGUUACCAAGUGAUGAGGGAAGUACAGUUAAAACAGAAAGAAACAUGAUAACAGUUUCUAUGGAGAACAUCAACAGACCUGUAGUUACGGUAUCUGUGAUUGAACAGGGGGGUUUAGGAAAAACUUUGACUCAGCCUUCAUACUUCUCAUCAAAUGGGGUUAGUUUGUUGACCAAUGAAUGGAGGUUUCAAACAAGGCCCUCCUCAAAUUCUGAGAUUUUUCAAGCGCCUACAAAACCAUCAUUAUCAAACAAACUUCGGGGAAUAAGUACACUGAUGGGGAACAACGUGUCUAACGUUUCACAUCACAAGAUAAUGAGGAAAACAAGCACAUUAAAGGUGAGUAGACCUACAAAAGCAGAGGUAAUAUCUCGUCGAAUAGCACCCGCAACUUCUACAAGGUUUACAGCAAGUUAUUCAAAUUUUAUUACAAUGGAUAAAAGCAGGAAUGUAACAGUUCCAUCUCCUGUUAUAAAGUCACUGGAUAGUUUAUUUGUGGAAGGCGGCUUUACAACGCCGAUGAAACUUAGUGAAGAGCCAUCCACCUUAAAACCUUCACCACUGUCGCCUGCCACCAAGGUGGAUGUGACUUACGGUGGUGCUGGAUCAUCAGUUGAUGUUUCCAGAUGGAUGAAAAAAAUAUCAUAUGAUGGAACCUCUGCACCACGCAAAAGUGUUUCAGAGAACGAUGGAAACAUCAACAUGAAUGCGUUAUUUUCUUCAGCCACCGACAUUCCCUUGAUAGCUCCUUUAUCUGUAGCUUUGAUGGAAUCUCAAAGCAUUAUUCCAACCGAUUCAACAAUUUCUCAAAAAACCCGAAAGAAAGUUCCUUUAGAGAAGCCGCUGGAACAUGACAAACCAGUAAUAGAGAUGGUAUCAAGAACCACCUCGACAGUAAGUCAGUCACAAGCAUAUUCCCACUCGGACAGCUUUGUACAGACCCCUGAUCCAGGCAGAGUAGUAGCUGAGGUAAUGACUUCUUUCAGGAAUGUGACUCAGGCAAUGUCUGCUGUAUAUCCUGAUCAAGACAUGAAGACAGCAGUAAAACCAAAUGAUCUUCCAUCCUCCAUCGCUUCUCCAGUAACAACUCUGAAUGGUAAGAUGGACAUUUUCCGUUUUGUUUUGGAAAAUAUAAUUGUCAUUUGAUUCGACCGUAUCACGUAUUGUCAGCAAUUUAAACAUUUACGAUGGCUGCCACACCACCACAACUCAAUUGAAACAAAGCAUGGGGGG
rnacentral:lncRNA from 1 species